GUGAACGCUGGCGGCGUGCCUAAUACAUGCAAGUCGAACGCUAGUCGCGGACCUGAUCACUUCGGUGAGACGUAAAGCAUAUGGCUAGAGUGGCGAACGGGUGAGUAACACGUGGACAACCUGCCUCUAAGCAGGGGAUAACAUUUGGAAACAGAUGCUAAUACCGUAUAACAACGCAUUUCGCAUGAAGUGUGUUUAAAAGGGGCUUCGGCCUCACUUAGAGAUGGAUCCGCGGUGCAUUAGUUAGUUGGUGAGGUAAAGGCUUACCAAGACGAUGAUGCAUAGCCGAGUUGAAGACUGAUCGGCCACAUUGGGACUGAGACA
rnacentral:rRNA from 1 species